UAUCCGCCGCUCGGAGCGCUCCGGGCCUGGGCGCAGGGCGUGGCGGGGGCCGGGAGCCCCGGGGACCUCGAGGGGCUGGAGGCCCCGAGGGGAUGCAGCAACCAGCCCCUCGCUUUGCACCGGGGGCGAGGGUGAGGGGUCUCCCCCAUUACCCCGACUGGGGCUCCAGGACUCUAGCCGACCUCUUCUGAAAAGCAAUCCCCCCCCCACCCCCGCUUUGGGAAACUCAAGACUAUUUCAAGGCGCAGUUCAAGUCCUUGAGGCCAGAGGACGAGGCCGAGACCUGCCCAGAUCCUGAACCCAGGAAGAGGGGCCUGGGGUGCGGCUUCGCGUCCAAUCUCAGUUUCCCCAUCUGUACGUGAUCUCUGGUGUCUGCGAAGUCCAGAUUGUAAUGCAAGCAGAAUAAUCGUUAUGACAUCUUCUGGGACUUGAUGUUGUAGAAACCAGUUCCAGAGCCACCAGGUUCCAGAUGCUAACAUGAUGCCAACCAGACUUCCCUGAACAGACAACCCAGCCCCACCAAUGUGUCCUGGAGCUCCACUUACCCAGAGCCCCACCCUACUAGGGAAAGAGAGAGGCAGGCUGGUAGUAUGGAUCGACCAGUCAACACCCAUGUUCAACAGAGAAGCAAUUACAGAAGCCAGACCUUCUACCUCUUGCAUCCCACAGUGACCUUGGGUCCAUACUCCCAGAGGGAUAAAGAAUAGGAAAGCUAUCAGGGGAGGGCAUGGGAUAUGGAGAUCUGGUGUUGGGAAUUGUGUGGAGUUGUACCCCUCUUAUCCUAUGGUUUUG